GCAGGCACCGCCUCUGCGCGAGCAGCGGCCGUUGAGAAGGGCCUUGUGCGCGCGCCCGCGAGGCAGUUAAAGGGCGGGCGGGGGGGUGUGUGGGGGGGUGGCACAGCCCAGCCUGUCAGUGCGAGACCCGCCGCGAGGGGCUCGAGCCGGCAGCUCCCCGUGCCGGGCAGCCUGAGGCGGGCAGUGUCGCGGGGGAGAGAGGAGAGCGCUAGGUUUAAAAGAGAAAAAAGGGAGGGACGGCUAAGGAGCCGGGGGAUGCGGUGCGCUCGGCUGAUGCCUCGAGUAUUUGCUGUCUCUUUUAGAAAUCUCAAGAGAACGUAUGAGUUUUCAGAAAAUGGAUGAAUGAAUACCCUCUAGAGGCAGAGUUCAGUUGGGGAAAAUUCCAAGAUACGGAGAACAGGUAUCAGUGAACAUAAACAAUACUGCUGUGCAGAGAAGAGAGUUGGGAUUACUCAAGGCUCACAUAAAUACAUACAGGAAAAGUUGGCUUCCGUGACAUGUUAUAGGAGUGAAACUAUGAAUUUCAUCCAUUACUUCCACCAUCUGGACUUUGUGUAGAUGGUAUGGGAGCUGGAAUAAAAUUUGAGGAUGAAAAAUGGAUGCUAUACUUCAGAAAUUAGGAAGCUUCCUUCUUUAACAAGAUGACCUGUCCAGAAGAAUAUAACAACAACAGAUAGUAAAUUUCUGAACUCCUCUGAGGAAUGUCUAAAAAAUGACAUUGCAUUGUUGUUGAGCACAUUCUCUUUGCUGAAAGAAAUGGAGGAUGCCAAGAGGAGAGAGGAGCCUUGUGUCAGAGCUCAGCAGGCAGCUUCUGAUCCUCUCUCAUUCUGAUUCAUCAAGAGCAACCAGAUGAAUGGCAGAUGGAGAACCUCUUUUCAAGUGAACUUGGAGCAGACACUGUCUUGGAGAGAAGAAAGAAAAAAGAGAGAACUGCAAAGAAAGUUUGCAAGCCCUAUGCUCCUGAAGGGCUGCCUGCUCUUCCUUUUAGCAGCAUACGAGGUGAGUUCUGUUUGAAAGAUUUUGGCAUAUCUUUAUGCUGAAGAGCUAUGUGUCGCUAAGCAACAUUUAGCAGUG